rnacentral:lncRNA from 1 species
GAACCCUUGUAUGGUGGAACAGGGUCAUAUAUCCAUUUUAAGAUCUCUGAUGGGGGUGGGGAUAUCUAGGUGUGGAUUAAGAGGACAGGGGGCUUUUUCUUUGCUCACAUCUUCAAGUACUGCCAGCUGUUCUCUUUUACCAGCCCCUCUAGGCAUUCUUCCCCCAGAUCUUCUCUAAUACUUACAGGGUGUCUAGUCUUUGAAGCCUGCUUUCAGUUUCAGGCAAUCCCCAGUGACCACCUGGCCUUGAUGUUGGCUGUAAUUUUCUGGUAGAACCACAUGGGUUCCACGCUCACUUUGCCAACCUGGUUAGUUGGGUCUGUGGAUACAGAUGACCCACUGAGGAACAGCUGUUGAUAACCCCAGUGAUCCCCUUUACCUAGAACCCGUAGGUCUACUUGUUCAACCCUCUUUGCCCUGGUAAGCCAUUUUUCUCCCAGGAACUUCUCUCUCUUUCUCUCUCUUUUUCUUAAGCUAAAGCACACAGAUCAUAGCUGCUGUUGUGGUUAAUUGCGGAAAAAAAGAAGACUCCUGGAUACAGUCUUUCUCAACCCAAAGGAGUUCAAAAGGAAAACUCUAACAAAAUGAAAUGCAUGUCUAUAUUCUUAGCGUGCCUGCCUGGGAGGCAGAGGAAAACCAAGCAAUACUAACUCCUCAUCCCACAGGUUCCCUUUGAAAGGCCCCGUCUCUUGUUCAGGCUUCCUCUCCUCCCCUUUACUCAGUUUGGUAUCCAGUGUCUUAUGUGUUCCUCAGUAGAUUUAUGUUAUAGGCUCAGAUUCUGGAUUCUCAGUUAAAGGCAGAGAGCUAGCUCCUCCAGGUCCUUGCAAGCAUUCCAGUGACCCAGUAGGGAGGACAGGCUGGCUAGGGGCCUUUCUGGUAGGCUGGGGAAGAAUACAAGGCUUAAUGCACUGAACCCUAGGAAAUGCUUAUGACUAGUAGCAGCAUCUUACAGGAAGUACUCCCCUAGAAGGUAGUGGAGGUGAGACUGACAGACUGGUCAGAAUGGGUUUUCCCUAGCCAUUUAGGCUUGCACAUUUUAGACCAACCCCAUCCAGUGGAUCCAUGUGGUGGGGACCAGCUGCUUUUGGGCCAAAGCCUUCAAAAAUUAUUCAGUCAAACCACUGCCCUCUAGCCUCAUAGAAUAUAAGAUCUUAGCAAGAAAUUGUCAAGGCCAACUAUGAAUUUUCCUCGAAGAGGGCAUUUUGCUUGAGGCCUGGACUCUGCGGGACCAAAGCUGUCUUUGAGAGAAAUAGCAGUGUUAAUUUGGGGCCCACAACAGCCUAGGAGAAAGAUGUGUUUGAUUUGUCUUCAAGAGCUUAGGCCUACUUCUGGAGGGCCAGCCUAACUCCUAAUACCCAUAUUAGCCUAAAUCUUCUACUAUACAUUAGUCCUGCUCUCCUGGGUAAGUCUGAUUUCAGGCCCUGGAUUAGGGAAGAAAACUACUACAUCCAGAGGGCUGUGAAGGAAGUCAGAGCUGAGACUGGCUGAGAACCUCUGACCUGUCCUUUAAAAGAAGUCCACAUUAUGUGACACUUGGACCCUGGAGUUGGAUAUUGGCUUUUUUAGCCAACUUUUGUAGGAAUUGCCUUUUACUGGCCUGUUAAACAAGGGAAGGGGUUAUGGGGUCCUAGGCACCCAAUAGACAAGAUGUCCUCCAAAAAUAGCUUGGCUUUCUCCUGAAGAUCCUAGGGAGGUGAAUCAAAUCCUCUUCACUAGUUUUUCUUUCCAAAUUCUUUUGCUUUUAUUUUUCUAAGAACUGUAAACUCUGGCCAUUUUUCAUGAUCUCAGGGCCCCUGGGUAGACAAAACUUGAUGAUUUCAGAGCAGACAUAGGCCAAGAAAAUAUGGCAUUGAGUGUGCUGAGUCCAGACAAUAUUUAUAUACACAUCCAAAUUUGAAGAGAAAAUGUAUUUCUUUAGGUUUCAAACACUGUAAUAGAUAAAAAGCAAAAAUAAA